CUUCAUGUUUCUCUCUCUCCCUCUGUCUCUGCCUCUCCCUCUCCGCUGCUCCUUUCCCCCUCUCUAACCAUCGCUCCACCAGCCGAGCCUCCGCCUCUCCUCCUCGCCGUUGCGGGCAACCGAAGCACCGAUUCACCUAGAUUUGUCCUAUUUUCUCUCUCUAAACCUUAUAACCAAUCAUGAAAUUCAGAUCUACACGACACUACCCAUUUCAAAUCUUUCAUUGAACUAAGCUUCAAUAGCGAAUCUGGUGGUUUUGGUGGUGGUGAUUUUGGGUUUGAUCAAUGGUGGGUAUUGCCAAGAAACGGCCCAAGAAGUUCCAUGGAGAAUCCACACAUUGUUCUUCGUGGAGUGCCACAAAUACUUGUUCAGGAAUCCAAACAUCGAGCUGGUGAGAAAGGCUGUGGGAACAUAAAAGAAAUAGAGACAGUUUCUUGAUCUUUGUAUAGGACCAUGAAUGGAGGCAAGCCGUAACUGUAGUUGGUUCAGGAUGCAUUGCUGCUUUAUCAGUUGAGAGAUAUCUUACCAGCAACAAUCUCCUUGUUGAAUUUCACUAGCUUUCAACUUUGCUUCAGUAAUUGCUUUAAGGGUUGGACUGCAGUUGGCUUCAUCACUAAUUUUAUUUUAUUUUAUGGCUUUUACUGUUUUAUGUUUUUGGUGUUUUUGUUAGUUGGUUUCUUACCAAAUUAGCAAUUGGAUAUCAAUUUUGUUGAAUCCUCUAUUAUGUAUGGAACUAUAUUUUUGAGAUUGGAUUAUACUUGAUUU